AUGCGCUGCCUUUGAGCCCUUGCUGCGCCUGCGCGUGGUGCCGGGGGUCAGGCUGCAGCGCCAGAGCACGCGCUCGCGCAUAACUGGGGCCGUCUGCCCCCGCAGCGGCGGCCCUUUUAACCGCGAGCCACACGG
ensembl:snoRNA